rnacentral:rRNA from 1 species
GACAGAGGUGCCAAGCGUUAGGCGGAAUCACUGGGCUUAAAGCGUGUGUAGGCGGAUCGUUAAGUACCUUGUGAAAUCCCUCGGCUUAACCGGGGAACUGCGUCUGAUACUGGAUGGCUUGAGUUUGGGAGAGGGAUGCGGAAUUCCAGGUGUAGCGGUGAAAUGCGUAGAUAUCUGGAGGAACACCGGUGGCGAAGGCGGGUCUCUGGGCAGUAACUGACGCUGAGGAGCGAAAGCGUGGGGAGCGAACAGG